UGAUUUUUGAUGUCUACAUCUCUUGCUUACAUUUUACUUUGGAGGUUGCAAGAUCAACAUAACCUGAGUUUGGAAAAUAUUUAACAAAAUUCAAAAGAGGAAAAAAAAUCACUUCUAUUAAAAUGUACCUGAAUAAGAGGUAUAGAAAGCACAGAUGUGGUAAUGUUGAAGGAAAGAAGGCACACAUGGGAGCUUAUGCUGUAUAAUUCCAUUUAUACAAUGUAUCAACACAGGUGCAAAAAGUACAAUUAGCUGCUACAUCUCUGAGAAGAAAGAAUUUUGCUGAUGAUCUAACAGAACUUGUGAGUCAUCCAUCAGGAGAUGUUUUAAUGGUGCCAAGAACUCAGUAAAGUCUGUGAUGGAUUUGGCAAGGUCAUUUGUCAUUUUCACAUCAGCAUGGUUUUGGCACCUGCUUCUCAGUAAAGAAUUGCACUGUUGGAAACUCACUUUUGACAAAGAUGGUCUGCUUCUGACCAAAUGGUUUAUGCUACAGCAGAGAAGUACAUUUUUUCAGAAAUUAUGGAUAACAUUCUCAUGGACUUAAUCAUCUUUCAUAUUAGUUCUCAAUACAAAAUGGCAUGCUUAACAGUUACAGUGAUUUCAUCCAGUUUUCUCUGGAACAAUUUGUGACUGAACUGGUGAAUAUGUUAUGCCCUAAGGAGAAGGAUGCUGAACCUUCAGAUAUCAGGCCAGCAUUCCCAAAAGAAAGAAGGAAGAAUGGUGAAAGGCAAAGGAUCAAAGAAAUAGAAUUCUUUCACAUCCCUGAAGAGAUUAUGAAAUCUGAUAGCCCUCCCAAGAGAUAUCAAUCAUGAUGCUACUUUGUACUUCCCCUUCUUAUUCACGUUGCAGUGAAAUACGCUUCCCUGAUCCAGUGACUCUGGGCUUGUUGAGGCCGUGGAGUGUGACAAGACAUAAUUCAUAGAGGCUUCAAACGUAGCUUGCGUGAGUAGGAUUCCUCUCAUAUGCUGCCAAGAUCCACUUCAAGAAGAACAUAUCACAGGUGUCAUUGGACCAAUGAGAACAGAAAAGCACUUGGAGUGGAUCCAAACAAUGUUGGUGAGGAAGUUCAGGAGAUUUAAAAAAAUGAAG
rnacentral:lncRNA from 1 species